AGAGUUUGAUCAUGGCUCAGGACGAACGCUGGCGGCGUGCCUAACACAUGCAAGUCGAACGAAGUUAGUUGCUUCACCAAGUGUUGAAUUGCAACCCCAAGCACAUUUGCCCAAGGGAAGCAAGAAGUAAAACAAAAAUUAAAACAUGGUGAGGGAAAAGAAUUAAGCAAUAGAAGCAAAUGUGCUUCACGCUUAUUCAAGCUUGCCAACACGAAACAAGGAUUCAAUGUUUGGUGAAGCAACUUUCUUAGUGGCGGACGGGUGAGUAACGCGUGAACAAUCCGCCCUGUACAAAGGAAUAGCCUCGGGAAACCGGGAUUAAAACCAUAUGACACUUUAGUACCGCAUGGUAUAGAAGUCAAAUUGAUUUAGAGGUAUGGGAUGAGUUCGCGUCUGAUUAGCUAGUUGGUAAGGUAACGGCUUACCAAGGCGACGAUCAGUAGCCGGCCUGAGAGGGUGAACGGCCACACUGGAACUGAGACACGGUCCAGACUCCUACGGGAGGCAGCAGUGGGGAAUAUUGCACAAUGGAGGAAACUCUGAUGCAGCGACGCCGCGUGAGUGAAGAAGGUCUUCGGAUCGUAAAACUCUGUCCUUGGUGAAGAAAAAGACGGUAGCCAAGGAGGAAGCCCCGGCUAACUACGUGCCAGCAGCCGCGGUAAUACGUAGGGGGCGAGCGUUGUCCGGAUUUACUGGGCGUAAAGGGUGAGUAGGCGGUUGUAUAUGUCAGGUGUAAAAGGCUAUGGCUUAACCAUGGUUAGCACUUGAAACUGUACAACUUGAGUGCAG
rnacentral:rRNA from 1 species